GCACCUGCCACCCAUGCCCGGCCUCCAGCCGCUCGCAUUCCCUCCCCGAGGCCCGGGAGCUGCGUGGGCGUUCGUUGUUUUCGUGGCUUUCUCGCGAGGCCUGUGCACACGUUGCAAGCCUUUCUGAAGCUCGGAUCCAGAUGGCCCGCCUCUGCCGGGUCAGUCCCCGAGACCCGCGUGUCUGCGGUGCUAAAGGCAGAGCGUUCGGGAGACUGACGGGACAGGCCCCGCGUCUGGAGGGGCUGGGCCUGUGGGGGCCCAACCUCACCCGCACAGAGGGCCUAGGGUGUGGACACGCUGACCGCCACACUGGCUGCAAGAACAAUCGAUGGAGACACUGAGGUCCAGAGAGAUGAGUGGGCCCUCUGAUGCUGUCUAGAUGGAACUUGGCCAUCGCACUGGUGAGCCCAUGCUUGUAAACCCUGCCUGGCCGAAGAAAGCACUAGCUUGUCCACGAGACAAUGGACCCCAGGGACAGAGAAGCAAACAGGGACCCAAAGGCCGAAUGACCUGUCCAAGCGCCUGCACCAGCCACCGCUGCCGGCCAAGCUCCCUCUUGCCAGAGAAAUGGUGGAUUAGGUCCCAGAGCUAAGCCUCAUCUAGAAGGUUGGUGCAGCAAGCAGGCCCUCGCCAGAUGUGAGCCCCUCCCCUGUGGAGCUUCCAGUCCCUCGUACUGUAAGAAAUAAAUCUUUUUUCUUUAUAAAUCAUCAGUCCCAGGUAGUCUGUUACAGCAGCACAAAGCAGAACAAGACACGGAGUAACAGCCCAUUCCUCAGGCGUGGCAGUACCCCUCCCCACCCUGCCCAGGCUGCAGGGACCGUGC